rnacentral:tRNA from 1 species
GGACAGAUGGCCGAGUGGUCUAAGGCGCCGUCUUAAGGAGGUCGCCUGGGCGUCGAGAGGCGUUCCGGCGGUGGUCCGGCGGUCUUCGGGCGUGGGUUCGAAUCCCACUCUGUUCA